AGUGAACGCUGGCGGUAGGCCUAACACAUGCAAGUCGAACGGCAGCACAGUAAGAGCUUGCUCGUACGGGUGGCGAGUGGCGGACGGGUGAGGAAUACAUCGGAAUCUACUUUUUCGUGGGGGAUAACGUAGGGAAACUUACGCUAAUACCGCAUACGACCUACGGGUGAAAGCAGGGGAUCUUCGGACCUUGCGCGAUUGAAUGAGCCGAUGUCGGAUUAGCUAGUUGGCGGGGUAAAGGCCCACCAAGGCGACGAUCCGUAGCUGGUCUGAGAGGAUGAUCAGCCACACUGGAACUGAGACACGGUCCAGACUUCUACGGGAGGCAGCAGUGGGGAAUAUUGGACAAUGGGCGCAAGCCUGAUCCAGCCAUACUGCGUGGGCGAAGAAGGCCUUCGGGUUGUAAAGCCCUUUUGUUGGGAAAGAAAAGCAGCAGGUUAAUACCCCGCUGUUCUGACGGUACCCAAAGAAUAAGCACCGGCUAACUUCGUG
rnacentral:rRNA from 1 species